UGAGGAAUAUUGGUCAAUGGGCGAGAGCCUGAACCAGCCAAGUAGCGUGCAGGAAGACGGCCCUAUGGGUUGUAAACUGCGUCUAUAUGGGAAUAAAGUGAGGGACGUGUCCCUUAUUGCAUGUACCAUACGAAUAAGGACCGGCUAAUUCCGUGCCAGCAGCCGCGGUAAUACGGCAGGUCCAGGCGUUAUCCGGCUUUAUUGGGUUUGAAGGGAGCGUAGGCUGUUUGUUAAGCGUGUUGUGAAAUGUAGGAGCUCAACUUUUAGAUUGCAGCGCGAACUGGCAGACUUGAGUGCGCACAACGUAGGCGGAAUUCAUGGUGUAGCGGUGAAAUGCUUAGAUAUCAUGACGAACUCCGAUUGCGAAGGCAGCUUACGGGAGCGCAACUGACGCUAAAGCUCGAAGGUGCGGGUAUCGAACAGG
rnacentral:rRNA from 1 species